CGUGUAGGCGGUCUGCUAAGUCGAGUGUGAAAGCCCUGGGCUCAACCCAGGAAUUGCGCUCGAUACUGGCAAACUGGAGUACGGGAGAGGGUAGCGGAAUUCCCGGUGUAGAGGUGAAAUUCGUAGAUAUCGGGAGGAACACCAGUGGCGAAGGCGGCUACCUGGACCGAUACUGACGCUGAGACGCGAAAGCGUGGGUAGCAAACA
rnacentral:rRNA from 1 species